UAUUUAAACACUCAUGAUGAAGUGAACUCCGCUCCCUGGCUUGAAAGCAUUGUGUUUUAUGUUGACACCACAUUGU